GACCGCGAUUCACGUUGAAUCUGAUAAACAAUGACGACGUAUAAGUAUGCAAUUAUCUGAUAAAAUAUGCUUUGUUAUGACGGAAAAGAAAUUAAAACGACGAAAUAUUUAAUGUAAUUAUGAAUUAUUCAACAAGUAGUGAAAGUAGUUAUAAGUGGUAAUUCAAGAGAAUCAACUCCGCUGUUGGAGUCGAAUGGAAAUCAUUUGAAUUAUUUUUAUAUUUUGACUUUGUUCUUAAUACUUCUCCUGGGAGUUUCUGCAGGAAGUUAUUUAUUACUUAAAGAGAAUGGUUGGGAACAUUUAGGAAAAUAUCCACAACUCUUAAACAUGACAAAUAUUACUUCAAACAAUUGAUAAGUGUUUUCUACUACUAAGUACAUAAAAUUAAGAAAAAAGCAUUUUCAAAUUUUAUUAAAUGUUAGGAGUAAAAUGGAACCUGCCUGAUUAUCUGUGAUUUAAAAAAAGGAUGAUUUUUUUGUGUAAAGUUGUUUAUAUUCUCAAUUUUAUUUAAGACAUAAUAUAAAAUAGAUGAUGGAGUAAAACUAAAAGACUGUUAUAAGUAUUAAAUGAUUAUCAAGAUGCCAUAUUAGAUUAAAACGAAUUCUGUUGCAUUAAGUAAAGAAACAAUUAUCUAAAUAAACGUUUACACAUUAAUGAUUAAUAAAUAAGUAAUAGAA
rnacentral:lncRNA from 1 species